rnacentral:rRNA from 1 species
GAUGAACGCUGGCGGCGUGCCUAAUACAUGCAAGUCGAGCGAAUGGAUUAAGAGCUUGCUCUUAUGAAGUUAGCGGCGGACGGGUGAGUAACACGUGGGUAACCUGCCCAUAAGACUGGGAUAACUCCGGGAAACCGGGGCUAAUACCGGAUAACAUUUUGAACCGCAUGGUUCGAAAUUGAAAGGCGGCUUCGGCUGUCACUUAUGGAUGGACCCGCGUCGCAUUAGCUAGUUGGUGAGGUAACGGCUCACCAAGGCAACGAUGCGUAGCCGACCUGAGAGGGUGAUCGGCCACACUGGGACUGAGACACGGCCCAGACUCCUACGGGAGGCAGCAGUAGGGAAUCUUCCGCAAUGGACUAAAGUCUGACGGAGCAACGCCGCGUGAGUGAUGAAGGCUUUCGGGUCGUAAAACUCUGUUGUUAGGGAAGAACAAGUGUUAGUUGAAUAAGCUGGCACCUUGACGGUACCUAACCAGAAAGCCACGGCUAACUACGCGCCAGCCGCCGCCGUAA